rnacentral:rRNA from 1 species
UCGGGAAUUUUGGGCAAUGGGCGAAAGCCUGACCCAGCAACGCCGCGUGAAGGAUGAAGUAUUUCGGUAUGUAAACUUCGUAAGAAUAGGAAGAAUAAAUGACGGUACUAUUUAUAAGGUCCGGCUAACUACGUGCCAGCAGCCGCGGUAAUACGUAGGGACCAAGCGUUGUUCGGAUUUGCUGGGCGUAAAGGGCGCGUAGGCGGCAAUUCAAGUCAUCUGUGAAAUCUCCGGGCUUAACUCGGAACGGUCAGAUGAUACUGCUUUGCUAGAGUGCAGAAGGGGCAAUCGGAAUUCUUGGUGUAGCGGUGAAAUGCGUAGAUAUCAAGAGGAACACCUGAGGUGAAGACGGGUUGCUGGGCUGACACUGACGCUGAGGCGCGAAAGCCAGGGGAGCAAACGGGAUUAGAUACCCAAGUAGUCCCUGAGCGGGCUGGCAAGGCGCAU